CGCAUCUGUGCAUGCAGCAUAUCAAUAAGCGGAGGAAAAGGAACUAACAAGGAUUCCCCUAGUAACGGCGAGUGAAGCGGGAAGAGCUCAAAUUUGAAAUCUUAAAGGGUUUCCCUUUACGAAUUGUAGUUUAAAGAAGUGUUUUCUGUUGAGGUUUUGGUAAAAGUUCUUUGGAAUAGGACAUCAUAGAGGGUGAGAAUCCCGUAUUUGACCUUUACUUUCAACUUUGUGAUACACUUUCAAAGAGUCGGAUUGUUUGGGAAUGCAGUCCAAAAUGGGUGGUAAAUUUCAUCUAAAGCUAAAUAUUGGCGAGAGACCGAUAGCGAACAAGUACCGUGAGGGAAAGAUGAAAAGAACUUUGAAAAGAGAGUUAAACAGUACGUGAAAUUGUCAAAAGGGAGGCGUUUGACACCAGUGUUGUUUUUCUGAAAAUCAAUUAAAGAACUGUUUAUGCUAAGUUGUUUAGACUUUAUCAGCUAAUCUGCUUAGUUUUGAGCUUUUCUUUAAUGCACCUUUCAGUUAACAAGUCAACAUCAAUUUCAUUUUGCUGUAAAAAAGCUUGAGGAAGGUGGCUUGAGAUUCGUCUUAAGUGUUUAUAGCCUCUUGCCUAUGCAGUCGGAGAGAUUGAGGUCUGCAGCGUAGAUCCUUCGGGGCUAAAUGCAUUUGUGCUAAGUUAUAGCAUUUUAUAGACAACUUGUUGACUAUGAUUUGUCUUGUAGCUUACUCGCUUAUGUUAUUUUACCUACGCUUAGGAUGUUGAACGCGCACAGAGUCUC
rnacentral:rRNA from 1 species